CCCUUAGAUGUUCUGGGCCGCACGCGUGCUACACUGAACGGUUCAAUGGGUGAGGUAGUGCGAAAGCAUGACCCAAUCUCAAAAUCCGUUCGUGCUGGGGAUAGAAGCUUGCAAUUCUCCUUCUUGAACGGGGAAUACCUUGUAAGCGCGAGUCAUCAUCUCGCGCUGAAUACGUCCCUGCCCUUUGUACACACCGCCCGUCGCUCCUACCGAUUGAGUGGUCCGGUGAGGCUUCGGGAGAGCUAAAUGGAUUGUGUUUCACAAACUAUUUGGCUUGAACUUAGUCAAACCUUACUACUUAGAGGAAGGAGAAGUCGUAACA
rnacentral:rRNA from 1 species